AAGUCCGCCGAGCCACUGCGGCGCACAGGCGUAAGCAGCCCCUGGAGAGGGGCGGGGCGGGAGACGCGGAGAGCGCGGGGAAUAGAGCCGAUAGCUAGUGGGGCCAGAAGCGCUCUUUCGUAACAGAAAGAGGCGGGGCGCGCUGCGCGCCAGAGGAGUGGGCGAGACAGUGCAGGCUGCAGCUGCGGAGCAGGGAGAGACCACUUACAAAUGAAAACGCAAGGGCAGGACGAGUGGAGAGGCUGGACCUGCUACCUAUGCUUGAGGGGCGGAGCCUAGCGCGCCUUCGCGAGGGGGGAGGUGCUGCCCCUUCCCUCUGUCCCCUUCCCCCCAAGCGACACCAACUGGGCACUCGAACUAUAGACCCAGUAGCCCCACAGAGCUGCGGAACUCUUGGUGGGUGAAGCCGACCUAAAACAUUGAAGAUGCCCUGGAUUGCGAGUCCCGGAAGCUCCGGACAUUGAGUCCCUGACCAGCCUCUUGCCCCGCGGGCGCCCACUGCAUACUGACCGGCCUUGAUCUCGGAUGCGGUGUCCUCCUUCCCUUCAUUGAUUUCCAUGGAGCUGCUGCGGCGCAGCUUCCGGCUGGCCUUGUCCCCCUCGUCCAACGAGCGGCGCCCCUGGCCGUACCAGCCGCGGGUGUGGCUGAUGCUGCGGCCCUCCGCGUCAAAGUUCCCGCAGACGUCGGACAGCGGCGUGUUCAGCUCGGACUGCGACAGCGUGGCCGUGGUCCACAGGUCCCGAAUGUCGCUGUACAGGCUCUCCUUGCUCUCCUUGUCCGAGCCAUGGCGGUCCGAAGGCUUGAGCGACACCUGUGGGCCACAUACAACGAGAGAAGCCAGGGGUCGCGGGUGGCUGGGGCGGGAAGGAAGGGCGGGCUGGGGGCGGGGAUCUGAGCCGGGCCCGGGCUGGGGCCCCGUCGAGCGUGAGGUUGGGUGGGGGCUGCGGGAAGCCCAGGCUGAGUAAGAAAUCGCGCCACAGCCCGUGUCGGACCAGGAGUGGGUUGGGAGCUGACAAGGUAAGGGGCACGGGGAGAGGUCUUACUUUCGAAGGCUUUUCCUCCAUGGUUCUGCCCCUACGGACCCAGACGCCACAGGCCUCGGGACGAGGAGGAGGAGGGGUCAACGUUCCAGAAACAGGGCGGGGCAGGGUCUCUCGCGCCAGGAGAGUUCAAACGACAGCCCUCCACGCGAGAGGCCGUUUUCUCUCUCCUGCCUCUAUCCCGCCCCGCACCCCGCACGCCCAGUGUGUGUGCGGAGGCUGGAGACGCGAGGCCCAUCCCGGCUGAUCCCCACGCGGGACCCUACCCAGCCGCCUCCAUGCAGUGACGCAGGCCUGAGCCCAGUCGAGAGGGCCGAGACCUGACAGACCUGGGUGCCUGGGACCCUCGGCCUGGGGGUCACGGGAGGCCAGAGGUGCCCCCACUGUGUGGCCCGAGGAAAGCACUCCCACACCCACUCGCGUCCGGGAGCGCUCACGCCCGCAGCGGUGCAGACCGUUUUCAUUUAUUGAUGCAGGCUUUGAGGCACAGUCGUGAGGUGCUGUGAGGGACAUGCCCGCCCAGGGCAGCGACACAGAAAGCCUUGGGGGAUCUGGAGAUGGAUGGAAGUGAGGAAAGGGCCGGGCCCGGGGGGCGGCAGAAAGGCAAACGUCGCCCCUUCCCCAGGCUUGAGUCCCAUGGAAAGAGAGCUCUUUGGUCAAACAAGCCAAGCAUGCCGGGGAGCAGGAACGAAGCCCUUGCGAGGCCCGGGCCGGGGAUCCUGCCCCUACACCGGCACGUCUUUGUCUCGGGGACGCCCGGGGCCACGGGGCCGCACGGGCUUCCUGGGGGGAUUGGGGCGGCGGCGACCCCGAGGCGCGCGGGGCAGGGGGCAGCCGCGCUCGCUCUGAGUGUCCGAGGACUCAUCGAUGAAGGCCAGGUUCUCGCUGGGAUAAUCCAGGGCCGAGGCUGUGGGCGGCGAAGGGGGCUGAGCCUUCUCUGGGGGCGAAGGGGAUCGGGGCCUGACCAGCGGCUGCGCUGGACAGGGCGGUGGAGGCAGCAGUGGCCGCUCCUUCUCCAGCGGAGGGGCUGCGGGCCCAGCUCGCUGGGUCACACGCGCCGUCACCGUGCCAGUCCAGCUGGCAGCCUGCGCCGUGAGGCCACCCAUCUGCACAGAGAGGAAGCAGCCCUCGACUGGAGCUCUUAGACUAUCCUCCGAGCCCCCCGGGAACCUGCCCCUUCACCAGCAGGGAUCAAGCCCCAACCCUCCUUUCUGCCUGGCUCUCCAGCCUAGGCAAAAUCCAAAUCGCCCAGCUAAAUAUGAAUUUCACAGAAACAAAAUUUUAGCUGAAUAUAUCUCAUGCAAUUCUUGGGACAUGCUUUAUAUUGAAAUUGCAUUAUUUAUUUGAAACUCAAAUUUAACUGAGCUUAUUUAUUUAUUUGGUGAGACCAGGGCUCACUCUGUCCCCCAGGCUGGAGUGCAGUGGUGCAAUCAUGACUCACUGCAGCUGUGACCGCCCCUGGCUCAAGUGAUCCUCUCACCUCAGCCUCCUGAGUAGCUGGGACUACAGGAACACACCACCACUCCAGGCUAAUUUUUUUUUAUUUUCUAGAGGCAGGAUCUCACCCUGUUGCCCUGUCUGGCUUUCUGCAUUUUUUAUUUGCUAAAUCUGGCAAUCCUACCCAUGAGGGCAGAGGUGAAGUUACCCACACAUGUAUACCCCUGUGUUCCCUUCAGGGCACACACAGAGGCUCCCUCGGCCCCUGCCUCAGGGGCCCAAGCCCUGGAAGGAAGACAGCCUGCACGACCCCCUGCUAGGGUACAGCACAUUUGCACCACAGUGUGUAGGCGCAGUGCCAACCCAGGGGCGCCUACCUCUGCCCGAGUGCGGCGGGACACUACUCGCAGCCAGUUCCCGAUGGUGGUGAGCACUGAGGCGAAGUAAGCCAGGCCGAGCAGGAUCCAGAACCACACCAGUGGCUGGUAGGCUGGAGAGUCCUGCCUGGGGUCCGCGCCUGGGAUACCACCAGUGAAGGCGGAAAGACUUGGACUUGGAAGAAGGCUGUGAACCCCGGUUCACUGCCCCCUCCCCAGCUCCUGGAGAGGACCUCCCCUCCCUAGGUCAAUGGGGAUGUACUUAAGUGUGUAAGUGCAGUGACUCCGAAAUCAGAGAAAGCAACAGAGGUGCUUGCCUGACUGUACCCCCGAAGGCUGCAGCCCAACACUUGCUUGAGUCACUGGUUGGAGGCCGACCAGAAGUGCCUCGGGGAACCCUGAAGCGCCCCACUUCUCCCCACAAGGUAAGCAUGCAUCAUGGGGGGAAGGGGUGCCUGACCUGCCAUCCCUGGUGGCAUGGAUCCUGGAACCCUCUGAAAUCAUCUGCAUACGUUCAUAUGCACUCUUUUCCAGGGGGAGGGGGUGAGUUCACUAUGUUCUUGGCUUUUCUAAGGUGCAUGACUCCAAAAAUGUAUGGAGACCGGUGUAAGUAGAGUUGCCAGAUUUAGCAAACAAAAAUAUUGCACGGAUGGACUUGUAUUAAAAAGGUAAUUGUGGGCCAGGCUCAGUGACUCAGGCCUUCAAUCCCAGCAUUCUGGGAGGCCGAGGUGGGUGGAUCACUUGAGGUCAGGAGUUCGAGACCAGCCUGGCCAACAUGGUGAAACCCCGUCUCUACUAAAAAUACAAAAAUUAGCCAGGCGUGGUGAUGCAUGCCUGUAAUUUCAGCUGCUCAGGAGGCUGAGGUAGGAGAAUCUCUUGAAUCUGGGAGGGAGACGUUGCUGUGAGCUGAGAGUAAGCGACUGCACUCCAAGCUGGGCAACACAGGGAGACUCCAUCUCAAAAAAAAUAAAAAGGCAUCUGUGGUCUAACUGUAAUUCACAUUUAAAUAAUAGUCCUGGAUCUUAUGUGGCAAUCUACACCGGUGAGACCUGUGCAAAUGUAACAUUCGCUAUGGCCAUUCACUCAUUCAUUCAUUCAUUUCCCCCUUAUCCCACCUCCAUCACACUCUGAAGGAGACAUCGUACACAGUCCUAUGCCAGGCCCUCCAGGGAAAACAAAUGACCCCACAACUGCCCUAUUGAAAACACAGAGACCUGGACCCCAGCCUCUGCCCCACAGCCUCCCGCUGCAUCCCGACCUCAGGGAUACUGGUCUGAAAGCAGCACCAGCACAGGGUCUCACUGGCACGCAGCCAGUGCCAGGGGUGAUGGGUGACAGCUGAAGGGGCUGUGGCUCACCCACGCACCUUGAU